rnacentral:rRNA from 1 species
CGAAUGACUCUCGGCAAUGGAUAUCUCGGCUCUUGCAUCGAUGAAGAACGUAGUGAAAUGCGAUACUUGGUGUGAAUUGCAGAAUCUCGUGAACCAUUGAGUCUUUGAACGCAAGUUGUGCCCGAGGCUUUGUGGCCGAGGGCACGCCUGCUUGGCCGUCAUGG